GGUAGGACUACACGGAUGUUUUCAGCGCAAUCCGACGCGAUGCGACAAAACGUGGGCGCCAAAUCGCAUGCAACGGAAAUAAGAUCCGCCAGCCUUAUCCUGUAUUACUCCUGAUGUUCCAACAGUGAGUACCUUUGAUAGUUUGCUCGCACAAUAUGGCGGAAUAUCAUUUGGCUCAACAAACAGCGAGCAGAAUGUGUUGGUUCCCUCUGCCACAAAAUAUGAGGUAAAUAUGAUUUUUUGAUCUGUGCUGGGUUUCGUGCAAUAAUCCAACUCUGGUGGAACUUCAGGUGGAAAUUCUGAAAAAUUCAUAAAAUUCAGAUUUUUUCCAGAAUUUUUUUUUUCGGAAACAUAUGGAGAAAAAACCUGUACGGAUUUGCCCGCCCCUGGUAACCUGAGGGCUACUGCUGCUAAAGGUGAGUUUCUCAGCUCUCCUCAUGGCUGCAAGCAUCCCUGACAGACUGUAUAUGGCUAAAUCAUGACUUUAAUUGGCAGUAGUCUCCUAUUCACACUAGUGGUCUGUUAAAGCUGGCCAUACACAUACCAAUAGGAUUUCCUACAAUGAAAAGGUAGCAAUGUAUGGCCACUCGUACUGUAUCUGUUUGUUUGUUCCAUAGGCUAAUUGGUCAGAUACUGCAAAUGCUGUACCUGUUUGGCCUAUGUAUAGUCACUACCUAUUCAUUUUUAUUCUCAAGCGACAUUUAAGGGUCAGUCAGUAACAUUUUCCUUGUGAAGCAGGUAAGUAGCCAGUAUGCUUUCCAAUGUGGUGUACAAAUUAAAUGAAAUUAAAAUAGAAAACCAGCUUUAGAUAUAUAAGACCCUAAUCAUUUAUUCAUCUAUUUAUUUGUUAAGCAGUAAUCACAUAGAUCACAGCUUUGUCUGGUCUGUUCUCAAAAUCCAUAUGGUUAUCUAAAUGCAUGUGCAUGUUUCAUAACAGUCUUAUACAUCAGGUAUUAUUCAGAAUACAAACAGGUUUGCCCAAUUGACCAUUCUAAGGAGCUCAUCUGCCCAGAAGAAGGCAACAGGACAGCAGUGCUAUCUGGAUACAACAAGUUUCAUUGGACUUAGAAGUAAGAUGGACUAAAUAUGGAUCGCUGGUAAAUCCUCAGGCUCAGAUUGUUAAUGUCACAGAAAAGAUAAUGUACGCUUUUGUCCAGAAUACUAAUUCAGGAAGUGGAAAUGUGCUACAAAUCUCUAUUUCAGUCACCUUCCUUCUGCAUCUGCAGAACCUGGUAACA